rnacentral:lncRNA from 1 species
CCAUCGUCAGCCUGUCAGGAACCAGCAAUGCUACCCUGUGUCGUGACCUCGUCUCUCGGCUCUUCAACAUCUCCUCCUGCCCCUUUUCCCAAUGCUCCUUCAAUGGGGUCUUCCAGCCUCCCGUGGCUGGAAACUUCAUAGCCUUUUCUGCUUUCUACUAUACUGUGGACUUCCUGACAACAGUGAUGGGGCUGCCUGUGGGAACCCUGAAGCAGCUGGAGGAAGCCACAGAGAUCACCUGCGCCCUCUAGGGGUGAACUGGGAGCCUCUCCCAACUCCCUACUAUCCCUCCCUUCCAGAGGGCAUCUCUGACCCUGAAGCAGCCUGGAAACCAACGUUCCCUAUCUACAUUCACAGAAAGCCUACGUGGGCAGCCCUGAGUUCUCAAUUAAUCCUCCUCUCUCUUCCUAGGAUGUCAGGUCUCAGCCUGUGACUCAGGGUGAGGUCCAUUCGGAGUGGGACUUUUGUUCUGAUCUUCAGGGCCCUGGGAACUUUCUGUCUGGGCCUUUAGAAAGGCAGGCACCAGAGCCUACAGGCUGGGAGUCAGUUCCAUGCCUACUUGUAAAAACUUUUGUAAUAAAAGAUUUUUCCUAG